rnacentral:rRNA from 1 species
UACGAAGGGGGCGAGCGUUGUCCGGAAUUAUUGGGCGUAAAGGGCUCGUAGGCGGUUUGUCGCGUCGGGAGUGAAAACCUCGGGCUUAACUCGGGGCUUGCUUUCGAUACGGGCAGACUGGAGGUAUGCAGGGGAGAACGGAAUUCCUGGUGUAGCGGUGAAAUGCGCAGAUAUCAGGAGGAACACCGGUGGCGAAGGCGGUUCUCUGGGCAUGACCUGACGCUGAGGAGCGAAAGUGUGGGGAGCGAACAGG